UUGCCAAUGGGCGAAAGCCUGNUGCAGCCAUGCCGCGUGUGUGAAGAAGGCCUUCGGGUUGUAAAGCACUUUAAGCGGGGAGAAGAGGGUAGUCGUUAACACCGGCUAUCUGUGAUGUUACCCGCAGAAUAAGCACCGGCAAACUUCGUGCCAGCAGCCGCGGUAAUACGAAGGGUGCGAGCGUUAAUCGGAAUUACUGGGCGUAAAGAGCACGUAGGCGGUUUGAUAAGCGGAAUGUGAAAGCCCCGGGCUUAACCUGGGAACUGCAUCCCGAACUGUCAGGCUAGAGUAUGAUAGAGGUGAGCGGAAUUUCCUGUGUAGCGGUGAAAUGCGUAGAUAUCGGAAGGAACACCAGUGGCGAAGGCGGCUUCCUGGUCCAACACUGACGCUGAGGCGCGAAAGCGUGGGGAGCGAACAGGAUUAGAUACCCUGGUAGUCCACGCUGUAAACGAUGAGAACUAGAUGUUGGGGGGUAUAACCCCUCAGUGUCGCAGCUAACGCGUUAAGUUCUCCGCCUGGGGAGUACGGCCGCAAGGUUGAAACUCAAAAAAAUUGACGGA
rnacentral:rRNA from 1 species